AGGGAAUAUUGGACAAUGGGCGCAAGCCUGAUCCAGCAAUGCCGCGUGAGUGAUGAAGGCCUUAGGGUUGUAAAGCUCUUUUACCCGAGAUGAUAAUGACAGUAUCGGGAGAAUAAGCCCCGGCUAACUCCGUGCCAGCAGCCGCGGUAAUACGGAGGGGGCUAGCGUUGUUCGGAAUUACUGGGCGUAAAGCGCACGUAGGCGGCGAUUUAAGUCAGGGGUGAAAGCCCAGUGCUCAACACUGGAACUGCCCUUGAGACUGGAUUGCUUGAAUCCGGGAGAGGUGAGUGGAAUUCCGAGUGUAGAGGUGAAAUUCGUAGAUAUUCGGAAGAACACCAGUGGCGAAGGCGGCUCACUGGACCGGCAUUGACGCUGAGGUGCGAAAGCGUGGGGAGCAAAC
rnacentral:rRNA from 1 species